rnacentral:tRNA from 1 species
AUUUAUAUAGUUUAAUAAAACAUUACAUUUUCAUUGUAAAAAUAGUAAUCAAAUACUUAUAAAUU